UUGAACGCUGGCGGUAUGCUUAACACAUGCAAGUCGAACGGCAGCAUGGAGGAGCUUGCUCCUCUGAUGGCGAGUGGCGGACGGGUGAGUAAUGCAUAGGAAUCUACCCAGUAGUUUGGGAUAGCCUGUGGAAACGCAGGGUAAUACCAGAUGUUACCUAAGGGUUAAAGUAGGGGACCGAAAGGCCUUACGCUAUUGGAUGAGCCUAUGUUGGAUUAGCUUGUUGGUGGGGUAAAGGCCUACCAAGGCGACGAUCCAUAGCUGUUCUGAGAGGAAGAUCAGCCACAUUGGGACUGAGACACGGCCCAGACUCCUACGGGAGGUAGCAGUGGGGAAUAUUGGACAAUGGGCGCAAGCCUGAUCCAGCAAUACCGCGUGUGUGAAGAAGGCCUGCGGGUUGUAAAGCACUUUCAGUGAGGAGGAACGGGUCUAGGUUAAUACCCUAGACAGAUGACGUUACUCACAAAAGAAGCACCGGCUAACUCUGUG
rnacentral:rRNA from 1 species